rnacentral:rRNA from 1 species
UACGUAGGGGGCAAGCGUUGUCCGGAUUUAUUGGGCGUAAAGAGCUCGUAGGCGGCUCGUCGCGUCGACCGUGAAAACCCGCGGCUUAACUGCGGGCUUGCGGUUGAUACGGGCGGGCUAGGGUUCGGUAGGGGAGACUGGGAUUCCUGGUGUAGCGGUGAAAUGCGCAGAUAUCAGGAGGAACACCGGUGGCGAAGGCGGGUCUCUGGGCCGAUACUGACGCUGAGGAGCGAAAGCGUGGGGAGCGAACAGG